AGAGAAUAGAUACCCUGGUAGUCCCAGCCGUAAACGAUGCUCGCUAGGUGUCAGGCAUGGCGCGACCGUGUCUGGUGCCGCAGGGGAAGCCGUGAAGCGAGCCACCUGGGAAGUACGGCCGCAAGGCUGAAACUUAAAGGAAUUGGCGGGGAGCACAACAACGGGUGGAGCCUGCGGUUUAAUUGGACUCAACGCCGGACAACUCACCGGGGGCGGACAGCAAUAUGUAGGCCAAGCUGAAGACUUUGCCUGAAUCGCUGAGAGGAGGUGCAUGGCCGUCGCCAGUUCGUACUGUGAAGCAUCCUGUUAAGUUCAGGCAACGAGCGAGACCCGUGCCCACUGUUACCAGCAUGUCCUCCGGGACGAUGGGUACUCUGUGGGGACCGCCUAUGUUAAAUAGGAGGAAGGUGCGGGCCACGGUAGGUCAGUAUGCCCCGAAUCUCCCGGGCUACACGCGGGCUACAAUGGAUGGGACAAUGGGUCCUACUCCGAAAGGAGCUGGUAAUCUCACAAACCCAUUCGUAGUUCGGAUCGAGGG
rnacentral:rRNA from 1 species